rnacentral:rRNA from 1 species
AGUGAACGCUGGCGGUAGGCCUAACACAUGCAAGUCGAACGGCAGCACAGUAAGGGCUUGCUCUUACGGGUGGCGAGUGGCGGACGGGUGAGGAAUACAUCGGAAUCUACUUUUUCGUGGGGGAUAACGUAGGGAAACUUACGCUAAUCCCGCAUACGACCUACGGGUGAAAGCAGGGGAUCUUCGGACCUUGCGCGAUUGAAUGAGCCGAUGUCGGAUUAGCUAGUUGGCGGGGUAAAGGCCCACCAAGGCGACGAUCCGUAGCUGGUCUGAGAGGAUGAUCAGCCACACUGGAACUGAGACACGGUCCAGACUCCUACGGGAGGCAGCAGUGGGGAAUAUUGGACAAUGGGCGCAAGCCUGAUCCAGCCAUACCGCGUGGGUGAAGAAGGCCUUCGGGUUGUAAAGCCCUUUUGUUGGGAAAGAAAAGCAGCAGGUUAAUACCCCGCUGUUCUGACGGUACCCAAAGAAUAAGCACCGGCUAACUUCGUG